GCAUUCCCACAAUAUAGCGUUAAUGCACCAGAUGCCAUUAAAACUCCACAUUUAAGCAUGCUCGGGCUAGAGUAGUACCCUUGAUGGGUGAUCACUUGGGAAGUCCUAGUGUUUUACAUGCC
rnacentral:rRNA from 1 species